rnacentral:siRNA from 1 species
CCGCCCGCGACGUCGCGA